ensembl:snoRNA SNORA70 Small nucleolar RNA SNORA70
CUGCAGCUAAUUAAGCCAACUAGCUCCCUUUCUUCAUGGGCACCUGGUGUGCAAUGACUGCAAGCUGCAGCCUCCUUGGUAGCAUAUGCAACCUGUUGCUUAAACGGCUUGGAGACAGCC